rnacentral:lncRNA from 1 species
ACAAACAUUUCACAUCUCGGAUUGGACAUGAUCCCAAAACUCCCUCUGUCAGUGCCCGGCCCCCAAAGAAGCUCACACAGGACUUUCACUAAUCUACUCAUGGUGCCCGACCCUAAAAGGGCUCUCACAGGACUUAUCCAAGUAAAAUGCCCGGCCCCAAAGGAGCUCACACAGGACAUACAAUAAUGACAGACUUAUGGGCUAUUGAGAUCGCCUCGGUCCAAUCCAC